rnacentral:rRNA from 1 species
AGAGCGAACGCUGGCGGCAGGCUUAACACAUGCAAGUCGAGCGCCCCGCAAGGGGAGCGGCAGACGGGAGAGUAACACGUGGGAACGUACCUUUCGGUUCGGAACAACCCAGGGAAACUUGGGCUAAUACCGGAUACGCCCGCAAGGGGAAAGAUUUAUCGCCGGAAGAUCGGCCCGCGUCUGAUUAGCUAGUUGGUGAGGUAACGGCUCACCAAGGCGACGAUCAGUAGCUGGUCUGAGAGGAUGAUCAGCCUCACUGGGACUGAGACACGGCCCAGACUCCUACGGGAGGCAGCAGUGGGGAAUAUUGGACAAUGGGCGCAAGCCUGAUCCAGCCAUGCCGCGUGGUGAGUGAAGGCCCUAGGGUUGUAAAAGCCCGUUUUCGGCGGGGAAGAUAAUGACGGUACCCGCAGAAGAAGCCCGGCUAACUUCGUGCCAGCAGCCGC